UACAGAGGUCUCAAGCGUUGUUCGGAUUCAUUGGGCGUAAAGGGUUUGUAGGCGGCCUUGUAAGUCAGGUGUGAAAUCCCUCGGCUCAACCGAGGAAUGGCGCUUGAUACUGCAAGGCUUGAGGGAGACAGGGGUAAGCGGAACUGAUGGUGGAGCGGUGAAAUGCGUUGAUAUCAUCAGGAACACCGGUGGCGAAAGCGGCUUACUGGGUCUCUUCUGACGCUGAGGAACGAAAGCUAGGGGAGCGAACGGG
rnacentral:rRNA from 1 species